rnacentral:rRNA from 1 species
ACGUAGGGUGCAAGCGUUAUCCGGAAUUAUUGGGCGUAAAGAGCUCGUAGGCGGUUUGUCUCGUCUGUCGUGAAAGUCCGGGGCUCAACUCCGGAUCUGCGGUGGGUACGGGCAGACUAGAGUGAUGUAGGGGAGACUGGAAUUCCUGGUGUAGCGGUGGAAUGCGCAGAUAUCAGGAGGAGCACCGAUGGCGAAGGCAGGUCUCUGGGCAUGAACUGCCGCUGAGCAGCGAAAGCGUCGGGAGCGACCAG